AGCAGCCGCGGUAACUCCAGCUCCAAUAGCGUAUAUUAAAGUUGUUGCAGUUAAAAAGCUCGUAGUUGAAUUUCGGGAUCAAUAUGUUGGUCGUGCCUUGGUACGUACUGGCAUUAUCGAUUCCUACCUCCUGAAGAACCUCGAUGUCAUUAAUUUGGUGUCUUGGGGAAUCAGGACUGUUACUUUGAAAAAUUGAGUGUUUAAAGCAGGCUCGCGCUUGAAUACAUUAGCAUGGAAUAAUGAAAUAGGACGUUUGAUUCUAUUUUGUUGGUUUCUAGGAUCGACGUAAUGAUUAAUAGGGAUAGUUGGGGGCAUUAGUAUUCAAUUGUCAGAGGUGAAAUUCUUGGAUUUAUUGAAGACUAACUACUGCAAAAGCAUUUGCCAAGGAUGUUUUCAUUAAUCAAGAACGAAAGUUAGGGGAUCGAAGACGAU
rnacentral:sRNA from 1 species